CUGCAGGACACCAACCCUGGAGGAUCUCAGUGUGAGACCAGUGUGGCGGCGGCCCUGAGCCCCGGCGUCGAGAGCUGCUGCUCUGGAAGUGGUUCAUGUGCUUCUUGGAAGAAAAGAAUGGAUCUAUGGAUGUGGCAUCCUGUGACUGCAGACGGAAUAAUAAUCUGACCGUGUAAAGAGGAGAGGCCACCGAAUCAGAAAGGAAGAAACGCGUCAGGCGGAGGAGGAAGGGCUCCGGCAGCGGCUGAAUGGUGUGCUCUGGAGUUUAGAGGUAAAAGAGCUUCAUGAGGCCCGGUUGGAUGAUUUAUGAGUCAGACAGCAGUGAGAAACUCAGGGUAAGAGCUAGAAGGAGAGCGCUUUUUUAAAAGGAGAUAAGUAAACAGGACAGAGAUGUAAAGAAAAAAGGGGGAAUUAGACAAAAAUAGGGAGCAACAGAGCCCUGAGCCACAGCUAUGAUUGGUCCCGUUCCAAG